rnacentral:lncRNA from 1 species
CCUACAAUCAAACGCUAUACACAUCAACAUUGAAGAGAAAAGUAAGAGUAACAAAAACUUGAGAUCUCCUACCAGUAGAAGUAGAAGACUAUUAUGCCUAUGCUUAUUGAAGUAUGAGUAUUUAGUAAGGGGCCGGAUAUAACCGGAAAGAUAUUUAACACAGAACAGAGUAACCAACGAGGGAGGAGUGCAAACAGCCAUUUUUUCUAUCUACCUCUGGUGGAACCUCCUUGUUUGGAGAGUUGGCGCCUGGCACAGCACUAAAAGUAUUCCCCAAAACUAGCUCAUGUCGAUCUAUGCAUGAGUAAAGAGUUUAGGUGAGGAAUCUUUAAAAGUCAUAAAAACUAAUUCAUGUAGAGAAAGCAGCAGAACCAAACUAUUGCAGAUUUAGAGGUGAACAGAUUUGACUUGCUAUUGUCAUAAAACAGCACUUUGAGGGAUCAAGGAGUUACCUCCCCAGAAGUUGUGAGACUCUUGCGUGUAUUGGCAUAAAUAUUUAUCAUUAGCGCCAAGAAUCUGAGCUCCGACACCAGUGAAUCUAGGUCCAUGAAGAGCCACUUCCAAUGGUGACAAUCUCUGGCGAAAUGCAGGAUUCUCCACAGAAUACAUAAAGCAAAAACUCUCCCUCUUGUCUGGAAUUGAAACCCUGAAAUACCAUCCCUCGAAGAACUUCCUAGCUGUUCCAUCGAAAUGGUAUCUGUAUUAACCAUGAAACAAAACUCUCUGAUGAACAGCUCUAAAAUGCAGUUUUCAAAAAUCUCAAAACACAAAAUUGGAGCUAUUUAAUAAACAAAAAAAAAAAAAAAGAUAAGAGAAAUAGAAUGGAACGGAUCAAUUUACCCACUGUGAGGAGUCCGGAGCUCACGAUUGGGAGGCGUCGGGACGUAAACAGGUUUCACGGAGAUCUUGUCAGUGUCAGAGGCCGGAGUGGAGAUCGACGCCGAAACCCUAGAAAUGGAGCGGGGAACUAGUUUAGUCGAUCGGAGUGAGCGAGUGACAG